rnacentral:rRNA from 1 species
UACGUAGGGACCAAGCGUUGUUCGGAUUUACUGGGCGUAAAGGGCGCGUAGGCGGCGUGACAAGUCACUUGUGAAAUCUCUGGGCUUAACCCAGAACGGCCAAGUGAAACUGUUGUGCUAGAGUGCAGAAGGGGCAAUCGGAAUUCCUGGUGUAGCGGUGAAAUGCGUAGAUAUUGGGAAGAACACCUGAGGCGAAGGCGGGUUGCUGGGCCGACACUGACGCUGAGGCGCGAAAGCCAGGGGAGCAAACGGG